AUGUUGGGCCCAAGUAUUCCGAGUGGUACAGACAGCAAUGUACACAAUCACAUCAACAGUGAGAGACAAUACAGAAAGUCGCCAGGCAGGUACAGAAGGACCCCAGUCUUACCCCAUCCCCCCCCCCCGCGUCUCUGUUGCAGCUCCCGGAGGUUUUUUAUAACCCGCGAGAACCCGGGGCUCUCCCUCGGCAGGUCCGUGUCGGUUUGUCCACCAGAAGAGACUGUAAUCCCCGUGUGUCCAGGCGUGCCUUCGCUGCCUCCUUCAAUGCGUGGUCCCGUGCCGGUCGGUCUCCAGGUCGUCGCUCGUCGAUGCGUCGUCCGUCUGCUUGUCUCCGAUCCCCGUCGGUGUCCCCCUUGCGUGCGCACUUCAGGAUCAUCUGGAGCACCAAAAAGAGGCCCAACAUCUCCCAGUGUGUCCUCAUUGUCUUCAACAGACUAUGAUAACACCAUCAUUCAGGGACUGAACCGAGAGCGUGUGCAUGACCACGAGCACGUUCCCUGGAGUGGCAAAGAUUGCACAUGGCCUGGAUCACGCUUCUCGCAACACCAUGGUGACUACCAUCUCCCAGUACUGGGAGGCCCCAGGGUUUUCCACUGUCGCAUCGACUUCCUGUCAGAAUUGUCUGAUUUGUUCAAAGUACAACAUUGGUAA
rnacentral:lncRNA from 1 species